AGCCCCGUCGUCUAGUGGUCAAGGAUACGAGACUCUGACUCUCGGGACCGGAGUUCGAAUCUCCGCGGGGCUA
rnacentral:tRNA from 1 species